AUGCGGCCGCUGCCCCCGACUCACCUGCCUGCUCACCUUCCACCUACAAAAUGAAGACGGCAUCCAGCAGGGUCCUACCAACCGCCACUUCCUCUGCAAACCAAAGACGCUCAGGGGCUCCAGAGACCCAACAUUACUGCAAAGGUCCGAGAGGAUGAGUCGGGCUUCGCGGUUGCCCUUCACUCCGCCGCCGUGGCUCCCUUCGUCUGGCUCGACGUUGGAAACAUCCCGGGUCGCUUUAGCUCCAAUGGCUUCCUGAUGGUCACAAGAAACGCAACCGUCAGCUUCGAAGCCUGGCGUCCCACCAGCGCAGCAGAACUAUCCAGAUCCCUCACAGUCACAACUUUAAUGGACUUGUACUGAUCCGAGACUGGACUGUAGUUCUGUUUUGGGCUUCGUUCCCAGCUGUUCAUUAAAAAUGUUCUACUCUUCUGGGACUCUCGAAUGUGUGACAGAAGCUGUCGAUGCAUCCAUCUCAUUUUUGUUUCCUUAAACUUGUGAAACAAUAAAUGUAGGAUUACGUGCCAUAAUGUGUUGGCUGCUAUCACAACAGGGCGAGGCCCCGCAUGAGGCCGGUACCAGAGCAUCUCAGGGACUUUUACUGUACGUGGAGCUUUCAUACUCCCUUGUCAGUAGUGCAUUGAUGUAGAAUUACAUUUUUUUUUGCAUUGUUUUGCACAUAUUAGAUCAUAUUACAAAGAUGGACGCUUCCUAUCCUAUCCGAAAUGUUUUGUACCACAGACUAAUGCCUGGAUUUGAAGAGCUUUAAGCGAUUGAGUUACUUUUUCACAAUGUUUUCACAAUAAAAAUCUGUCCAUCCAUC